UAAUCGACGAAUGACGUUACUGACCAAUUAUGACCAAAUAUUGACGUCAAAAUGACGAGUGCUUGCUACCUGGGAUGCUGGAAUUUGGAUGACGACUGUUCCUUCUGAGAUCGGCCGUUUUGUCGACACCCGAGUGGUGAUAUGCGAACACGACUUUGUUAGCUCGAUCGUGUCCGAAACUUGAGAGAUGAGUGUUACUUCGAUCACGGCCAAACGCCGAGCGCACACGUACACGGCUGCUCGCUUGUGUGCGUAUGCUGUAAGCGGCUUGAAUCUAACAUCUUUGGUCCAGACCGCGGUGGCGCGGUGCUGUUUUCUUUCUAUUUCGGGCUGCGUUCGGAUUUUUGAGCCGCCUGAGCGGUCUUGAAAUUAAAUUAAAUUGGCUUUCGUGCCAGGUCGGUCCACUUGGUCUACACAUAGCAAGACUGCUACGUGUGUGUGUGACCUUAGCUAGUGUCUCUUUUAUUAUAAAAUAACAAAAUACCCAAUUAUUCCGACAAAUAUCGAUAUGCGACAAUGGCGGAAUAAAUUAUAAUUAACGUGUCGCCUCAUUACAGUCCGAAAUAAUUAUACAAUGCGGAUAAAUCGUCCGUAGGCAAGCGAACGAUUAUAAUAAUUGAACUAAAUUUCAGGGAAAUUCUGUACGUUUCUUGCCUACGGCACGUUGGGGCUAAUUAAAGACCAUUCAUCCAUACGUAAUUAUAAAAAGUACUGGAUCGCGCGAGAGGACGUACAAAUCACAAAUGCAAUUGUAUCCUCAUUUAUGCUCACAUCGUUCGCAUAAUCGCUGAGAUUAAAGCAGUAUACAGGUUACACAAAAUCAAUCUCAUAAUUUACAAAUUUACAUAAUGAAAUUCUUUGACCGGUAUCUGAAAACAGAGCAAUGACGGGAAGUAAAUCACGACUCAUCUAAACGUCCACCAGAUGUUGAAGCACAUCGUGUUCAGCCAGAAGAAAGCAGCCAGGAAGAAGAAGUGUGCCAUGAUUGCUGAAACAUAACGAGACAGCCUCGUUAGCUUUACGAAUAUUUAAAGAGGUUUAGGAGAUUUACUUUUCUUCCUUAUAUAAGAAUAUUACAUUUUGUAACGGAUAAACGGAGCUCGUCGAACAAAGACGCCGUCGGUUUUCAGUACCUCGAUGCGUUCUUAAAGAUUUAUAAACCGUGGAGACACGUGAAAAGGCGAAUUUCGAGGGUGCGACACGCCAGCAAAGGGUCGGACAAAAACAUUGAUCGCGAUUUCUCUAACAAUAAGUGUAAUAAAAACUAUCUAUCGAGCAUACUGGCCCAGUUUACAUCGAUUACUUGAUACGCAUAUUAAAUAGUAAAUAAUUAGUAAAUUAGUUUAAUUAUUGGCUGAUCAGCUCAAAUAUAUUACUUAAUACGCGUAUCAAGAGAUCGAUGUAAAUUAGACCACUGACUCUUUAUCGUUUAAAAUAAUCCAUUGCCCAACAUAUGUAUGUGUGUGAGUAUGUGGAGGGGGAGGGGAGGUUGAUCUAAAUCUAAUUGUAAGAAAGACAGUCAAUUGAUCGAGUAGGUAACGUUGAAAAAAAAUUUUUUUCUUAAAAAUAUUGAAAGAUUUUAAGCAUGUAAUUGAAGUAAAAAAAAAUGAUUCUUUAACGCUUCGGGAUAAAGAAAUUGCGUGGGCUGAAAUCUGUAAGCGCUACAACAAAUCUACAAUGAUUUUUUGACAAGAGAUAAAUAUAAAAGAAAGGUUAUUUUGAAUUGUAAGAUUACUAUUCGACAAAAAUAGAGCUAAAGCGGCAAUUCUAUGUAGAUCAUUGUGUGAAGCGAAAACGUUCGGACGCAUUAUCGUUUUGUUAAAUUUGUUGAAAUAAAUUCUUCUUUUCCUAAAUACCGAUUUGUUCUUUCCGGUGAACCGGCUUCAAAUACUCUACAUUAGUACAUUUCUAAUAUAUACUAUUUCUAUUUGCACAUAACAGGGCGUACGAAACGUGUAUGAGUACAUCAGGCGAAAAGUAGAUUAAGCAAAAUUUGUAAAGGGUUGGGUAUGUCCCUUCAAAACGCCAUAUGUGUGGAUAAGAUAAAGUGUUGGAAGGAGAGUGUACAGGGUUGGGUACGUCCCUAUGAAAACGCCCUUUAAGACCCCUUUGGGGUAAAUAAAGUACCAUUAUCUAUCUA